UAUGCUUCAAUUGAUUACUUUUAAGGUCAAACAUACUCUUGGUCAAGGACUGCAGCAUGGAGUUCACAUUUCUUACAUUAAAGUGAAGAAGGCUCUUUUCUAAGUGUAAUCCAACAUACCCUAGUUGACAUGUAAAGUUCCACAAGGCAAUCUAUAUACCAGGCUAUCUUCCACCACAGCAAUCAAACCCUUGGGGCUGCUUGUAUCUUCCACAAGGCCUCAAGCAAAUACAUGGUCUCACUACUUGUAUGUUGAUCAUCGCACCAUGAAUGAUGGAUGUGAUUUACCUUCACUAUAGGCAGACCUAUUUUUGAGCCCACUCCAAUAUUUUUUGGGAUAUGUUUAGGAAUGACAACAGAUAUGAUCUUAGCAACGGUGUCCAAAGAGAAUAGAUCCUACAUCACUAGCCCAGUCCAGGUGCCUUCCACAUUCAUCUGAUCAGAUAUCAAUUUCCUUUCUAAUGGAGAGCUAGCAUUCAAAGGAACAAGCUGUCAAAUUAAAGGAAUAUUAGAUACCCAUGCAUCAUUUAGAAUAUUAACUUUGCUGCCAUUUCCAAUCCACCAUUGAAUGAAAUAAUUGAUGAGUGGUGAUGCAACCACAAUAGCUCUCCAAAUAGGGGAUGUUCUCCAACCACCAUGUAAUAUUCCCAUGUUCUAGUAAAUUUGCACUUUGAAGAAACUAACUUAGCCCAUAUAGAGUUACCAUUUAGCAUUAGAUUAGCUGCAGCUUGAGCUAGAAAUGUUGUUCUUUGAACACAGUCAAGUUCAUGUUA
rnacentral:lncRNA from 1 species